rnacentral:rRNA from 1 species
AUUCCAGCUCCAAUAGCGUAUAUUUAAGUUGUUGCAGUUAAAAAGCUCGUAGUUGGAUUUUGGGUCGGGGGCACCGGUCCGCCGUUCCGGUGUGCACUGGUGGCCCCUUCCUUUCUGCCGGGGACGUGCGUCGCACUUAAUUGGGUGGCGUUCGGAGUCGGCGUUGUUACUUUGAAAAAAUUAGAGUGUUCAAAGCAAGCCAUCGCUCUGAAUACAUUAGCAUGGAAUAACAUGAUAGGACUCCGGUCUUAUUUUGUUGGUUUCCGAGACUGGAGUAAUGAUUAAGAGGGACAGUCGGGGGCAUCCGUAUUUCAUUGUCAGAGGUGAAAUUCUCAGACCAGCGGAAGACGAACCACUGCGAAAGCAUUUGCCAGGGAUGUUUUCAUCA